rfam:Pantoea gaviniae strain LMG 25382 Contig0167_, whole genome shotgun sequence.
UCGUUCUCAACGGGGUGUGGAAAGGCGCAGGCGAAAACAGCGCGUGUUUCCACUGAGAGAGACCCGUCGAACCUGAUCCGGUUAAUACCGGCGUAGGGAUUUGAGAUGCCCUCCAUC